rnacentral:rRNA from 1 species
UACGUAGGCUGUUUAUUAAGUCAGAUGUGAAAGCCCCGGGCUUAACCUGGGAACUGCAUUUGAUACUGGUAAACUAGAGUAUGGUAGAGGGGGUAGAAUUCCUAGUGUAGCGGUGAAAUGCGUAGAUAUUAGGAGGAAUACCAGUGGCGAAGGCGGCCCCCCUGGACCAAUACUGACGCUGAGGUACGAAAGCGUGGGUAGCGAACA